rnacentral:rRNA from 1 species
AGUGAACGCUGGCGGCGUGCUUCAGACAUGCAAGUCGUACGAGAAAGUGACUUCGGUCAUUAGUACAGUGGCGCACGGGUGAGUAAUAUUUGGGUAAUGUACCAUAUCGCUGGCGAUAACUAGGCGAAAGCUUAGCUAAUACCGAAUGUCCGUUUGGGUGAAAAUCCUAACCGGGAAAGCUGUAAAGCGCGAUAUGAUCAGCCCAAAUCCCAUUAGCUAGUUGGUAGGGUAAUGGCCUACCAAGGCUUCGAUGGGUAGCUGGUCUGAGAGGAUGAUCAGCCACACUGGAACUGGAACACGGUCCAGACUCCUACGAGGCAGCAGUUAGGAAUUUUGCGCAAUGGGGGAAACCCUGACGCAGCAACGCCGCGUGAGUGAUGAAGGCCUUCGGGUUGUAAAGCUCUUUUAGUUGGGAAAAAUCAAAUGAUGGUACCGACAGAAAAAGCACCGGCUAACUACGUGCCAGCAGCCGCGGUAAUACGUAGGGUGCGAGCGUUACUCGGAUUUACUGGGCGUAAAGCGCAUGUAGGCGGCUUGUUAAGUCUGAUGUGAAAUCCCUGGACUCAAUCCAGGAACUGCAUUGGAUACUGGCAGGCUUGAGUAUAGGAGAGGUGAGCGGAAUUCCAGGUGUAGAGGUGAAAUUCGUAGAUAUCUGGAGGAACAACAGAAGCGAAAGCGGCUCACUGGACUAUUACUGACGCUGAGAUGCGAAAGCGUGGGGAGCAAACAAGAUUAGAUACCCUGGUAGUCCACGCUGAAACGAUGGUCACUAUGUCGGGAGUUCUUACCCUCUCGGUGUCGUAGCAAACGCGUUAAGUGACCCGCCUGAGGAUUACGGCCGCAAGGUUAAAACUCAAAGAAAUUGACGGCGGCCCGCACAAGCGGUGGAGUAUGUGGUUUAAUUCGAGGCAACGCGAAGAACCUUACCUGGGCUU